UCGGGCGUGGCGCACGGCGCGCAUUCCCUCUUGCUGGCUUGAGUUGCACGAUGACUGGGAGGGAAAAAUCCGGGUUCGACUCCCGGCGCCCGAA